rnacentral:tRNA from 2 species
GCCUGUCUGGCGGAAUGGCAGACGCGCCGGGUUUAGGUUCCGGUGUCUUAGGACGUCCGGGUUCAAGUCCCGGGACAGGUA